rnacentral:rRNA from 1 species
GAUCCUGGCUCAGGACGAACGCUGGCGGCGUGCUUAACACAUGCAAGUCGAACGGAAAGAGAUGAAAGAGCUUGCUCUUUUAUUAAUUUCAGUGGCAAACGGGUGAGUAACACGUAAACAACCUGCCUUAAGGAUGGGGAUAACAGACGGAAACGACUGCUAAUACCGAAUACGUUCUAAGCAUCGCAUGGUGCAUAGAAGAAAGGGUGGCCUCUACAAGAAAGCUAUCGCCUUAAGAGGGGUUUGCG